rnacentral:sRNA from 1 species
GCUGGGUGUGGUGGUGCACGCCUGUGAUCCAGCAGCUUGGGAGGCUGAGGCAGGAGGACCACAAAGCCAGCCUCAGUACUGGCAACAGUGAGGUGCUAAGUAACUCAGUGAGACCCUGUCUCUA